CCUUAGAGUUUGAUCCUGGCUCAGGAUGAACGCUGGCGGCGUGCCUAAUACAUGCAAGUCGAACGAAUCUCUUCGGAGAUGAGUGGCGAACGGGUGAGUAAUACAUAGGUAACCUGCCCCUGUGCGGGGGAUAACAGGAGGAAACUCCUGCUAAUACCGCAUAGCCAUGAGCACCGCAUGGAGCUCAUGCCAAAUAUCCUUUCGGGGAUAGCGCAGGGAUGGACCUAUGGCGCAUUAGCUUGUUGGCGGGGCAACGGCCCACCAAGGCAACGAUGCGUAGCCGGCCUGAGAGGGCGGACGGCCACAUUGGGACUGAGACACGGCCCAGACUCCUACGGGAGGCAGCAGUAGGGAAUUUUCGGCAAUGGGGGAAACCCUGACCGAGCAACGCCGCGUGAGCGAAGAAGGCCUUCGGGUCGUAAAGCUCUGUUGUAAAGGAAGAACGGCGCAUACAGGAAAUGGUAUGCGAGUGACGGUACUUUACCAGAAAGCCACGGCUAACUACGUGCCAGCAGCCGCGGUAAUACGUAGGUGGCGAGCGUUAUCCGGAAUCAUUGGGCGUAAAGAGGGAGCAGGCGGCCGCAAGGGUCUGUGGUGAAAGACCGAAGCUAAACUUCGGUAAGCCAUGGAAACCGGGCGGCUAGAGUGCGGAAGAGGAUCGUGGAAUUCCAUGUGUAGCGGUGAAAUGCGUAGAUAUAUGGAGGAACACCAGUGGCGAAGGCGACGGUCUGGGCCGCAACUGACGCUCAUUCCCGAAAGCGUGGGGAGCAAAUAGGAUUAGAUACCCUAGUAGUCCACGCCGUAAACGAUGGUCACUAAGUGUCGGGGGUCAAACCCCGGUGCUGCAGUCAACGCAAUAAGUGACCCGCCUGAGUAGUACGUUCGCAAGAAUGAAACUCAAAGGAAUUGACGG
rnacentral:rRNA from 1 species